rnacentral:rRNA from 1 species
GACGAACGCUGGCGGCGUGCUUAACACAUGCAAGUCGAACGGAAAGGCCUGCUUUCCCUUGUGGAUUGCGGGUACUCGAGUGGCGAACGGGUGAGUAACACGUGAGUGAUCUGCCCCCAACUUGGGUAUAAGCCUGGGAAACUGGGUCUAAUUCCCGAUAGGACUGCAGGGUGGUGCCUGUGGUGGAAAACGAUUUUCUAGUGGUUGGGGAUGAGCUCGCGGCCUAUCAGCUUGUUGGUGGGGUAAUGGCCUACCAAGGCGGCGACGGGUAGCCGGCCUGAGAGGGUGGACGGCCACAUUGGGACUGAGAUACGGCCCAGACUCCUACGGGAGGCAGCAGUGGGGAAUAUUGCACAAUGGGCGGAAGCCUGAUGCAGCGACGCCGCGUGGGGGAUGACGGCCUCCGGGUUGUAAACUCCUUUCGACCGCGAGGAAGCCACCUGGUUGGAAGGGUGGUGACGGUAGUGGUAGAAGAAGCACCGGCUAACUACGUG